rnacentral:rRNA from 1 species
UGGGGAAUUUUGGACAAUUGGGCGAAAGCCUGAUCCAGCAAUGCCGCGUGUGUGAAGAAGGCCUUCGGGUUGUAAAGCACUUUUGUCCGGAAAGAAAUCCUUGGCUCUAAUACAGUCGGGGGAUGACGGUACCGGAAGAAUAAGCACCGGCUAACUACGUGCCAGCAGCCGCGGUAAUACGUAGGGUGCAAGCGUUAAUCGGAAUUACUGGGCGUAAAGCGUGCGCAGGCGGUUUGCUAAGACCGAUGUGAAAUCCCCGGGCUCAACCUGGGAACUGCAUUGGUGACUGGCAGGCUAGAGUAUGGCAGAGGGGGGUAGAAUUCCACGUGUAGCAGUGAAAUGCGUAGAGAUGUGGAGGAAUACCGAUGGCGAAGGCAGCCCCCUGGGCCAAUACUGACGCUCAUGCACGAAAGCGUGGGGAGCAAACAGGAUUAGAUACCCUGGUAGUCCACGCCCUAAACGAUGUCAACUAGUUGUUGGGGAUUCAUUUCCUUAGUAACGUAGCUAACGCGUGAAGUUGACCGCCUGGGGAGUACGGUCGCAAGAUUAAAACUCAAAGGAAUUG